GAUGAACGCUGGCGGCGUGCCUAAUACAUGCAAGUCGAGCGAAUGGAUUAAGAGCUUGCUCUUAUGAAGUUAGCGGCGGACGGGUGAGUAACACGUGGGUAACCUGCCCAUAAGACUGGGAUAACUCCGGGAAACCGGGGCUAAUACCGGAUAACAUUUUGAACCGCAUGGUUCGAAAUUGAAAGGCGGCUUCGGCUGUCACUUAUGGAUGGACCCGCGUCGUAUUAGCUAGUUGGUGAGGUAACGGCUCACCAAGGCAACGAUGCGUAGCCGACUUGAGAGGGGGAUCGGCCACACUGGGACUGAGACACGGCCCAGACUCCUACGGGAGGCAGCAGUAGGGAAUCUUCCGCAAUGGACGAAAGUCUGACGGAGCAACGCCGCGUGAGUGAUGAAGGCUUUCGGGUCGUAAAACUCUGUUGUUAGGGAAGAACAAGUGCUAGUUGAAUAAGCUGGCACCUUGACGGUACCUAACCAGAAAGCCACGGCUAACUACGUGCCAGCCGCCGCAGUAA
rnacentral:rRNA from 1 species